rnacentral:sRNA from 1 species
CCAUCCACCGGAAGUCAUGCAUCUUCAGAGAUUGAAAAUGUCGGGGAAGUCCAGCGGGCAGGAAUUCUCUUCUUCCGAAUCAUGCUGCUCGAGCUACAGGAAAGCAUCCAACUACUCAAUUCCACGGACUUUGUGUCACUGUUGCUCUAUGACCAUACUCUUCCAACAAAACCAAAUUCUCCUCAAGACAGCAAAUCGAUGGAGUUGGAAGCCAACGUGAAACUAGUGCGUGACAUCCUGAAGGCGGUUAUCUUGUUCUUUCAUCCAGAGUUGGAAUUUUCAACUGACUUUGGAAGUUGGGAUAAGUGUAAAUU